UCGCUGUGAAGAUGCAGUGUACCCGCGGCAAGACGGAAAGACCCCGUGAACCUUUACUAUAGCUUGACACUGAACAUUGAGCCUUGAUGUGUAGGAUAGGUGGGAGGCUUAGAAGUGUGGACGCCAGUCUGCAUGGAGCCGACCUUGAAAUACCACCCUUUAAUGUUUGAUGUUCUAACGUGGACCCGUGAUCCGGGUUGCGGACAGUGUCUGGUGGGUAGUUUGACUGGGGCGGUCUCCUCCUAAAGAGUAACGGAGGAGCACGAAGGUUGGCUAAUCCUGGUCGGACAUCAGGAGGUUA
rnacentral:rRNA from 1 species